AUGAUACUGUCCGACCUCGCGGCCGAUGCCAGCAGCGACCAGAACCUCACGGAAGAACAGGUUGAGUUCUUCCAGCAGAUCGCCGACAUCAUGAGUCAAGGCGGUUGCCCGGAGAUGGAGACGGAGGAGUCGGUGCCAUCGUCGUACACGAGCGGGCGCAGCGUGCUGAGGGUGUCUACAUGGGCGAGGCUGGUCCAGCUGAAUUUCCUGAAGCGGUUCCUCAACAAGGGUUUCCGUAAGCACCUCCAAGACAACCCGCUCUUCCGGGAACAGGUGGACUCCAGCGACGCCGUAGACGAGGCCGACGAACAGCCGGCCGGGAAGGGCAGGCGGCGCGGGGGUGGGAGGGAGAAACGGUGGAGUUCGGCCAUGAGGAGAGAUCGCGACAUCGUAUGGGAGAGCAAGAAUGGUUUCUCCCUGUAUGAUUAG
rnacentral:rRNA from 1 species